rnacentral:lncRNA from 1 species
CCAAAACCACAAUGAACUGUUACCUCAUUUCCCCACGGAUGGUGGCAAAGGGUAGGAGUGCUGGUGAUGGGGAAGAACGGAAGGGGAACUGUCACACACUGUCCUUGGCAGGGAGAUUUGAAUGCUAUGACACAGAAAGUGGUGUUGGCAUCACUUACGGAUUUCAAUUAUUUCGAUGCAAGUGUGGUCCCCUGAUUGGCAUAACCCUGAUCAAAAUGAAGAUAUCCUACGUCUCUGUGUAGUCUUCCAAAUCGCUUUAAGAUGUGAAGGCUCGGUAUUUACUGUCCCAAUGGGACUAGGUCGCUGCUGUACUAAGUAAAUGGUUUAUAAU